rnacentral:tRNA from 1 species
GCUGAUAUAGCUCAGACGGUAGAGCACACCCUUGGUAUGGGUGGGGUCGGUAAGUUCGAAUCUUCCUAUCAGCA